rnacentral:rRNA from 1 species
GAUGAACGCUGGCGGCGUGCCUAAUACAUGCAAGUCGAGCGAACGGACGAGAAGCUUGCUUCUCUGAUGUUAGCGGCGGACGGGUGAGUAACACGUGGAUAACCUACCUAUAAGACUGGGAUAACUUCGGGAAACCGGAGCUAAUACCGGAUAAUAUUUUGAACCGCAUGGUUCAAAAGUGAAAGACGGUCUUGCUGUCACUUAUAGAUGGAUCCGCGCUGCAUUAGCUAGUUGGUAAGGUAACGGCUUACCAAGGCAACGAUGCAUAGCCGACCUGAGAGGGUGAUCGGCCAAACUGGAACUGAGACACGGUCCAGACUCCUACGGGAGGCAGCAGUAGGGAAUCUUCCGCAAUGGGCGAAAGCCUGACGGAGCAACGCCGCGUGAGUGAUGAAGGUCUUCGGAUCGUAAAACUCUGUUAUUAGGGAAGAACAUAUGUGUAAGUAACUGUGCACAUCUUGACGGUAACUAAUCAGAAAGCCACGGCUAACUACGUG